rnacentral:rRNA from 1 species
GACGAACGCUGGCGGCGUGCCUAAUACAUGCAAGUAGGACGCAGUUGCGAACGGGUGAGUAACGCGUAGGUAACUGCCUAUUAGAGGGGAAUAACUAUUGGAAACGAUAGCUAAUACCGCAUACUAGUAGAUGGACCUGCGUUGUAUUAGCUAGUAGGUAGGGUAAUGGCCUAACUAGGCGACGAUACAUAGCCGACUUGGGAAGGAGUACGGGCAAACUGGGACUGAGAAACGGCCAGACUCCUAAGGGAGGCAGCAGUUGGGAAUCUUCGGACAAUGGGGGAACGCUGACCGAGCAACGGCGCGUGAGUGAAGGAGGUUUUCCGAUCUGAAAGCUCUGUUGUUAAGGGAGCGGUACUUAACCAGAAAGGGACGGCUAACUACGUGCCAGCAGCCGCGGUAAUAC